rnacentral:rRNA from 1 species
GACAGAGGGUGCAAACGUUUGUUCGGAUUUACUGGGCGUAAAGCGCGUGUAGGCGGCUUUGCAAGUCGGAUGUGAAAGCCCACGGCUCAACCGUGGAAGUGCAUCCGAAACUGCAUGGCUUGAGUCUCGGAGAGGAAGGUGGAAUGCUUGGUGUAGCGGUGAAAUGCGCAGAUAUCAGGAAGAACACCCGUGGCGAAGGCGGCUCUCUGGGACGGUACUGACGCUGAGACGCGAAAGCGUGGGGAGCAAACAGG